UAAAUAUGCUAAUAAAUACCUCUGAAAAUUCGUCUUUAAUUUACCCCUCCCUGAAAACAUUUUCCGACACCUCAAACCCUUCUCUCUAGUUUUUGUUUAGCUCUCAGACCUUCAGGCUACAGGAAAAUUUGGUAUUUCCAUGGCGACCAGGACUGUUGUGAGACACGUAUCUCGUAGGUUCUCAAGCAGUGGCAAAGUGCUCAGUGAGGAGGAAAAAGCUGCAGAAAAUGUCUAUAUCAAG